AUGCAGCCUUAUAGGCUGAAUGCCUUCGGUAUACGCUCCCAUAUCAAGCUCCAAAGCAAGUUUUAUGGACCACUUCGUGUGAUGGCUGGUGUGGGCAACGUCGCUUACAAGCUCCUACUUCCAGACAGCGCAAGCAUUCAUCCAUUCUUCCACGUCAGUCAGUUGAAGAAGCAUCUCGGGCCAACUGCAGUUCCUUGUGCUGAUCUUCCUCUUGUCAGUCGCGAUGGCCGUAUAAAGACUGAACCGAGCUGCGUGUUGGAGACCAGGCAGAUUCCUCGCAACAACCUUCCUGUGGUGCAGUGGCUCGUCCAAUGGGAAAACCUACCUCCUGAUGAUGCCUCAUGGGAGGAUGCACACUUCAUCAAGAAAACAUUUCCCGCCUUCUUCAAGAAAAUGGUGGAUGGGUGGUUCAGUCAAUGA
rnacentral:rRNA from 1 species